rnacentral:misc_RNA from 1 species
GAUGAAGAACGUAGCGAAAUGCGAUAAGUAAUGUGAAUUGCAGAAUUCAGAGAAUCAUCGAAUCUUUGAACGCACAUUGCGCCCCUUGGUAUUCCGAGGGGCAUGCCUGUUCGAGCGUCAUUAUAACCCCUCAAGCUCAGCUUGGUGUUGGGGCCUGCUGCACUGGCAGCCCUUAAAAUCAGUGGCGGCGCCGUCUGGCUCUAAGCGUAGUAAUUCUUCUCGCUAUGGAGUCCUGGUGGAUGCUUGCCAUCAACCCCCAAUUUUUCUAUGGUUGACCUCGGAUCAGGUAGGGAUACCCGCUGAACUUAAGCAUAUCAAUAAGCGGAGGA